rnacentral:rRNA from 1 species
AACGAACGCUGGCGGCAGGCUUAACACAUGCAAGUCGAGCGCCCCGCAAGGGGAGCGGCAGACGGGUGAGUAACACGUGGGAAUCUACCCAGCUCUACGGAAUAACUCAGGGAAACUUGAGCUAAUACCGUAUACGUCCUUUUGGAGAAAGAUUUAUCGGAGUUGGAUGAGCCCGCGUCGGAUUAGCUAGUUGGUGAGGUAAUGGCUCACCAAGGCGACGAUCCGUAGCUGGUCUGAGAGGAUGAUCAGCCACACUGGGACUGAGACACGGCCCAG